GGGCUCGUGGUUUAGUGGUAUAAUACUCCCUUAGCAUGGGAGUGGUCCGGGGGUGAGUUGACCUCGCACCUUGUUACAAGGUUUCAUUCGUACUAACAUCCAAUUAGUUCGAUUCCCCGCGAGUCCA
rnacentral:tRNA from 1 species